UACAGAGGUCCCAAGCGUUGUUCGGAUUCAUUGGGCGUAAAGGGUGCGUAGGUGGCGUCGUAAGUCGGGUGUGAAAUCUCGGGGCUUAACUCCGAAACUGCAUUCGAUACUGCGGUGCUUGAGGACUGGAGAGGAGACUGGAAUUCCUGGUGUAGCGGUGAAAUGCGCAGAUAUCAGGAGGAACACCGGUGGCGAAGGCGGGUCUCUGGGCCGAUACUGACGCUGAGGAGCGAAAGCGUGGGGAGCGAACAGG
rnacentral:rRNA from 1 species